CCUAUAAUAUAGAAACCUUCAGCCCCCUGAUCAGUUCGCGUUGAUUUCGGCUGCCUGCAAAAGAAAAACUUGUUGGUCUCUAGUGUUGGGUGCUUAUACCACCCUACACCUCUCUGCCGCAACAAUGGUCCUCGAAAUUGAAGUGCAGUACUGUAACUCCUGAGGUUACUCUACCAAGUUUGCAAAUCUGAAGCUGGACCUGGAAAGUGAAUUUCCAGAUGAACUGGAAAUUAUUCCAAUUCCAGUGAAAGGACAAACAGGCUGCUUCGAGGUUUUCAUAAAAGGCUCAACCACACCUCUACAUUCUAAACUGAAGGGAGAUGGUUUUGUUGACACCAAAGAGCGCUUUUCCCACCUUGUUAAAAAAAUUCAAGCAGCCCUCAACAAGUAGAUGCUGUAAUUACACUGGUUGAACGUCAUUUUUGCUUUGUUCUCUUCGGCUGAACACAUCAUGAUGGUGAUGGCUGAAAUGCCUGCAAAGGCAUGGCUGUUUCCUGAUGUCUCCGUGGGAUGUCGCAGUGACUGAAGUUAUUUGGGGUUUGGCCUGUGGGUUUCAGUCUUAAAACAUUAUUGUGCUUUUGCUGCCACACCACUGUGGUGACUUUGGUUUCACUACUUUCUUUCUGCAGUGCAAUGACAAGCAAUCCAGUCAAACUUUGGGAAUUAAGGGGUAUAGCCAUCUCUAAGUAACCUGCAGCACUCUUCCUUUUUAAAACACUCAUUAAUUCAGAUGUCUCAUCUGUGGACGUGAGCCACUGGAACACUAACAUUAUUUGAAAUUCAGCCUAUCACCACACCAGUUUUCAGUAACUUUUUUUAAAAUCAAAUGGUUGCCUUGUAAAGUCUGUGCAAUGCACUAAAUGUUCAUUGCCAUCCCUGUGAUGUUACUGACUCCAGAAAGAUAUCUUGUACUCCCCUCAGUCAUUUGUGUGGCUAAAAGGUGUGGGUUUAAACUGGCUGAAGUAUUGAUAACUAGUUUGUGGGGGCGGUGCAUGCAGAGGGAAAUGACCCUUCACAACACUGAAGUUGCAGUGUCCAAACUCUCAUUAGUGUAGAGGUGGUUCUGUGUAAUUCAACACCAAAGGGUUGUAAAUGGAAAUUGAACAAGGUUUGUGUUUUGAUCUUAGUUUAAUUCUGUUUGCAUGUGAGCCACUAGAUUAGUGAGUUUUAAAAAGUGUGACCGUUUAGAUCUCCAUUGGUGCAAUGGCCCAAUAAUCAUGUGGGCCAAAAGAACCAUGGUACAGAGUCAGCAGAGUACUUUUUGGUUCCUGUUUCUGAAAUUGUUUUUGGAGCAAUGCAACUUCCACUGGAUGGCAGUUAGACUUGCUUUCUUGCACUCGUAGCAUUGGUUUUUUCCUCUUGGGUGGCAUUGAAGAAAUAUGGUGAUGUCUAAAUUUAAUAAAAACUUCAAUGUUUUUGGAACAACUAGAGGGUAUGGUUUGGUUUUAUUAAUCUGUAUCAAGAACAACAAUAAAAAUCCUUUAAUCUAA